CAAAUACUCCCUCCGUCCAGAAAUACUUGUCCUAGAAAUGAAUGUAUUUAGACUUAUUUUAGUUAUAGAUACAUCCAUUUUAUCCAUUUCUAGGACAAGUAUUUCCAGACGGAGGGAGUACUUA
rnacentral:pre_miRNA from 1 species